rnacentral:lncRNA from 1 species
AGGCUGGUAAAAUAAAUUAAAAAUUGUUUCUAAAAUACAAUGAUAAACUGAAUUAUUUUCAGGUUUCAGAAUGAAAGCCAGCAAAGUAGAGUGGAUGAUAAUUAGGAUAGUACUAGCUAGUGCGCACCAAGAAUGGAUACUUGCCAUCAUGCAGGGCACAAUAAUACACAGAGGGUCCUGAGCUUGGACCUUAUCAAAGACAUAAUAAAACUUAAGGCCCACACCAAGCCCAUCAUCAAAAAGCCUGUUUGCAAUUCAAAAUUAAGGCACGCAUGGAAAGGAAAAGCUUACUCCGACGCUUUUCAGAAGCGCGUGCUUUUCCUUACAAACCGACAAGCAGCCGUGUGAUAUAAGCCGGAGAUGAUUUCUCUGCUGGAUCGUGCCCGCAUGAGAGGAGGACACCUGGAUUAACUGAUUUACUUGACGCACGCGCCACUGCGAUUGAGCGUGUGUACUCCACAAUUCAGAAAUACAUCCUCGCAUUGAAGAAUUCUUCCAUUUCCAAUUGACAAGUCACCCAGUCAUUAAUUGCAAAAGUAAGAGACGCGCCGAGACGGUAACAAAAUUUUGAAGGCAACUGGCACUACUUAUUAUAUACGUGAGUGGAUAAUUUUGAUUGCAAACAAGGCAGCAAAUCUUGAAUUGUGAUAAUAAUUUAAACGCUACCCUGACCAAGUAAAGAGUUGAGAACAGUCAGCGCACCUUGGAUUUAUAGUAAAAGAAUUCCCAAAAUCCAAUCCCUCAGAGUAAUUGUGUCAUUUAUAGCAGCAAAUUACAGCCUCAUGCCUGUAUUUUGUACCUUACCUUGCUGAUUUGGAAACUACGACACCGUUUGUCCAUAGCCAGAUCUUGGUCUUGCAUUAUAGCCAGGGUGUCUUCCAUAUUCGAACUUUAACACAGAAUAAAAUACCCCUCCCUCCCUCUCUCUCUCACAGUAUUAUUGUAUGGAUUCUUGAUUUUUCUCUCUCCAAAUUUAAUUUAGAUACCAAGAACUUUAAAGCUCAAACCCACAAAUGCUUCCACUCUUUUCCUCCCACCUUAUAUAGUCUCUUGUACACCAACUAUGAUGCCUCAUCUUUCUCUCUCUAAGCCUCACAACAAGACAAACCUUUCGCUUUGGUUUCCUCAUCAGAUCUCUUUAUCUUACAGUACAGACACCACCCUACAUGUAUAAAAAAAUCCCUCCGCACACAAAAUGCCA